rnacentral:lncRNA from 1 species
UAAUUAUUUGAUCAAUUGUAGAGGGACUAGUUCAAUUUGGGAUGAGAUAAGAGUGCCAAGAACGAACAAACAAACAAAUAAAUAAAAAAAUAAAACAAUAGAAAGAUGACGUAAAGAGGUAAGUUAACAAGAUGAUGAUAAUCAACAAUUAUACACCAUUAAACACAUAAAGAAAAAAGUGUAUUGCCAAAAAAGAGGAUUUACAUUGGUCUGAGCAUCCAUGUUAAGUUGGUAAUACGAAUUGGAAAAAAGUGUAUUGCCAAAAAAGAGGAUUUACAUUGGUCUGAGCAUCCAUGUUAAGUUGGUAAUACGAAUUGGAUCGGCUUGCACUCAGCUACAAGGGUUUUAAUGAGUUUGGAAGACCUUCAAAGAAGGAUUUCUCUGCCUCCAAAACACCCUGCACC